AUGUCGGACGUGACGGCGGUGAUGGAUCUGGAGGUGGAGGAGCCGCGGCUGUCGCUGCCGCCGGGCUUCCGGUUCCACCCCACCGACGAGGAGGUGGUCACGCACUACCUCACCCCCAAGGCCGUCAACAACGCCUUCUCCUGCCUCGUGAUCGCCGACGUCGACCUCAACAAGACGGAGCCGUGGGAUCUCCCCGGGAAGGCGAAGAUGGGGGAGAAGGAGUGGUACUUCUUCGUGCACAAGGAUCGCAAGUACCCGACGGGGACGCGCACCAACCGCGCCACGGAGAAGGGGUACUGGAAGGCGACGGGGAAGGACAAGGAGAUCUUCCGCGGCAAGGGCCGGGACGCCGUGCUCGUCGGCAUGAAGAAGACGCUCGUCUUCUACACCGGCCGCGCGCCCCGCGGCGACAAGACGCCGUACGUCAUGCACGAGUACCGCCUCGAGGGCCAGCUGCCCCACCGCCUCCCCCGCUCCGCCAAGAACGAUUGGGCUGUUUGCCGGGUGUUCGACAAGGACUUAGCGGCGAAGAAUGCGCCGCCCCCGAUGGCGCCGGCGGCCGUCGGGGUCAUGGAGGACCCGUACGCCUUCCUCGACGUCGACGACUUCCUCAACAACCCCGACCUGCUCAACAACGCCGACCUGCCGAUGCUCAUGGACUCCCCGUCAGGCGCCGACGACUUCGCCGGCGCCUCGAGCUCCACCUCCAGCGCCGCCGUGCCGCUCGAGCCGGACAUGGAGCACCUUUCCAUCAAGACGGAGCCACCGGUGCCGCAGCAGCAGAUGCAGAGCCCCAACUACUUCUUCAUGCCGGCGGCGACGCCCAACGGCAACCACGGCGGCGGCGGGUACUCACCCUACCAGGCCAUGGGGGACCAGCAGACCGCGAUCCGCAGGCACUGCAAGCCGGAGGCGGCGUCUUCGUCGGCGCUGCUGAGCCCUUCGCUCGGCUUCGACGCGGGGGCGCUCGCCGGCGCGGACACCUCGUUCCUGAUGCCGUCGUCGCGGUCGUACCUCGAUCUGGAGGCCAUGGACUACUCCAACAUGUGGAAGAUCUGA
rnacentral:rRNA from 1 species